CACAGCUUCAAUGCACCUUGGCAUAGAUUCUACAAGUGUCUGGAACUCUAUUGGAGGGAUGCGACACCAUUCUUCAGUGUUGAUUUCCAUAAUCUGGUGUUUUGUUGAUUGGGGUGGAAAACGCUGUCUCAUGCGCCGCUCCAAAAUCUUCCCUUCCCAGAAACACUUGGUCUACCAGGAGACACUCUGACGCACACACCACGACCUGGCUGGGAUCAGCAAGGCCUCAUCCUGCCGUUACUAUACCUGCACACACCUAUGCAGGCACGCAGGUUCUCAUCCACAUCACAAUGGAUGCUUUCAUUAGCCAAACAUCUUGGGAAGAAUCUUCAGGCAUGGCGAAUCCAGGCCUGACACUGGUCUGCCGUGAUGUCAUUGUAUGCGUCAUCCAUGGCCUGGAGAAGGGUGGCUUGUUCCUGAGGGCGCCUAUCAUAUACCUUCCAACUCCAUGUGGAGAAAAAAAAUCCUCAAUCGGGUUAAGGAAAGGAGAGUAUGGGGUGAGAGGCCUUGGCAUUUCAACCACCACAACAAGGCUGUGACCUUUGCAGCCAUCUCCACCU
rnacentral:lncRNA from 1 species